rnacentral:tRNA from 1 species
GUAGCUCAGCGGUUAGAGCGCGCGACUCAUAAUCGCUUGGUCCCCGGUUCGAAUCCGGGC